rnacentral:rRNA from 1 species
GAUGAACGCUGGCGGCGUGCCUAAUACAUGCAAGUCGAGCGAACAGACGAGGAGCUUGCUCCUCUGACGUUAGCGGCGGACGGGUGAGUAACACGUGGAUAACCUACCUAUAAGACUGGGAUAACUUCGGGAAACCGGAGCUAAUACCGGAUAAUAUAUUGAACCGCAUGGUUCAAUAGUGAAAGACGGUUUUGCUGUCACUUAUAGAUGGAUCCGCGCCGCAUUAGCUAGUUGGUAAGGUAACGGCUUACCAAGGCAACGAUGCGUAGCCGACCUGAGAGGGUGAUGGCCCACACUGGAACUGAGCCGCGGUCCAGACUCCUAGGGAAGGCAGCGGUAGGGAAUCUUCGGAAAUGGGCGAAAGCUUGACGGAGCAACGCCGGGUGGGUGAUGAAGGUCUUCGGAUCGUAAAACUCUGUUAUUGGGGAAGAACAAAUGUGUAAGUAACUAUGCUCGUCGUGACGGUACCUAAUCAGAAAGCCACGGCUAACUACGUG